GGGAAAUCUUACCGGGUCCCGACACACUGAGGAUUGACAGGCAAUAUCUCAUGUCAACGGUAAGUUUACUUACCGCUUAACAUCGAGUGUUAAAUAUGCUAGUCCUUUCAUGAUUAUGUGAUAGGUGGUGCAUGGCCGUUCUUAGUUCGUGGAGUGAUCUGUCUGCUUAAUUGCGUUUCACUAAGGGCCCAUAAAUUCAAGGUAUGUUAGCUCUCGUCGCUCUAUGGACCCCUUAACUCCAAUAUUCUUAUUGUGUUAAGCGCGUGUCUUUAUUUUAAGAGUUUUAAGACACUGCGCAUGCUGUUGGGCUCUGAAAGCAACGAACGUGACCGCAACGUCUUGUUGCCUUAAACUAGCGUAUAUUGCAAUUUAUUGNAAUAUCGCUUACAGAGGCUAUUUAAAACUAGACGGACCGCUGUUUCUUUCUUAAACCAGAGGAA
rnacentral:rRNA from 1 species